UACGUAGGGGGCUAGCGUUGUCCGGAAUCAUUGGGCGUAAAGAGCGUGUAGGCGGUCCGGUAAGUCCGCUGUGAAAGUCGGGGGCUCAACCCUCGAAUGCCGGUGGAUACUGUCGGGCUAGAGUGCGGAAGAGGCGAGUGGAAUUCCUGGUGUAGCGGUGAAAUGCGCAGAUAUCAGGAGGAACACCUAUUGCGAAGGCAGCUCGCUGGGACGUUACUGAGCUGGAGACGCGAAAGCGUGGGGAGCAAACAGG
rnacentral:rRNA from 1 species